UCUCGCAGUGUACUUAUAGUGAUGUGUUUUGUGAAUUCUGUGAUAAUGGACUGCAUUAACGGGUGAAGGGUAUUUUUCUGAAGACCAGAGUCGCCCUUCCUGGGAGUACCAUAGAACUUCAGCUGAGGAACGAGCAGCAGAAACACAGAUUUCAAUACAGCAAAAGGAUUGAACACAUCCAGAAGAAAAGGAAGGAAAUGAUCUCUUUGUACUGAUUACAGUCAUCAUCAUCAUCAUCAUCAUCAACAUAUUCUUAUUCGGACUUAUCUACACUUUACUCAUACAUCUGCUGGAAACUUUAAUUGGCGCAAGGAAGGAGGUUGGACUAGAAGUAAAAACAGAGAAAGCCAAGUAUAUGUUGCUGUCUCGUCACCAAAAUGCAGGCAAAAUCAUGAC